GAUUUACUGGUUUGAAUCGUGACUCUUCUCUACCAGUCUGCCAGAAAUGUUCCUCUUAUGGACCAUGCAUCCUGAAAUGAAUAAGGAAUGCCAUAUUCUGUGAGGAGCUGUCCGAGGAGUUGUCCUCACAUAUGUGAGGAGCUGUCCUCACAAACUCCAUUACAAGAUGGCACCGGCAUCCGGCAGAACGCACCUAGUAAAAAGGGCAAUACGCAGGCACCUGGCAACUUCCCUACUCAAAGGGACACGUACGUUUUGGUACGUCAUCUGGCAUAAUUGGCAGCGACCAGUCAGAGAGUGACACGUCCUAGGCGAGGAUAGUUUCCUAUAUAAGGGACGGUUAUUCCUCACUCGAUGUCUCCGCAUUGUAAGCUUAUGCUCUCCCUCUCAAGACGCAUUAAAGCUUUUCUGCA